AAUAAUAAUCUUGGAUGAAUUUUAUUUUUCUGAAAACAGAAUCCAGAAUUUACCACAACAAACAAGGCAGUACUAAAAUCUAAAACCUUUUGAGUCCCAAAACAACAAAAUACAUUAAAACUUAGUCCUUCAUAAAUAAGUAUACUAAAUACAGCCACUAGUAAUCUCAAGUACUACGGAACAUUUCUCUAAAAACAAAAAGGAUGCAAUCUCUUUUUUCACAAAAACUUAACAAACUUAUUUGGGUUAAAAUACAGAAUAGUGGUUCUAAAUUUUGUAAAAACCACCUUAAGACUUAACAAAAGUAAAUGGAAGAAUUCAAAAAGAGUUCAUCAAAAAAAAAAAGAGUUGGUCAGAAGUGAACUAAUUAUAUAACCAAUGCCUAGGUAUAAAGCUAUAUAAGCUUAGCAUGAAGAGAGGACUCAAUUAAGAAGAACAAGAGAAAUAAGUUAAGUUCUGCAUUCUAGUAGAUGAGGAAUAGAAAUAACCAAAUAAACCUAUUCAACGUCAACUCUAAUCCUCCUAUCUCAAGACAACUAGCACUUCUAAUCUGUGUGUACUCAUCAUAACAUUUGAAUAUCUUGUCCUGGAUGUGUAACCCAAUUCUAAGACAGUCUUACCACCCAAAACUACAAAUUAUUCCUUGUCCCUCUGUUUAAACUUCCUCAUUCAUUUCUUUUCAGUUGAUGGUUCGCAUCCUGGAAAUGUAAACCAAUGAAUACCAGCUAUCAGAACACAAAUAUCCUUUCUUAACUAUUAAAUAAUUUUAUCAUUUCACAAUGACCAAACAAAAGAGAAUGGCCAAUAUCCUGAGUUUCUAAUUUUCCAGUCUGACUUUAACAUCUGAAAAAGUCUUACAAAUCUGUUUCUUUUGGUGGGCUGAUGCCUCAGUGGGAUGAUGAGCCAUAAUCCAGGAGUAAGAAUGUAAGCAAAUAGGACCAAGAGAUACAAAUUUCUAAUUGUUCAAGGUUUCUUCAAAAUCCUUUAAAGAACUGUAAAGCAUUAAAAUUUCAAAACAAAGGCAAUUCAGUUCAGCUUCACAAAUAUGUCUUACCUGGAAAACUUCUAAUUAAACUCUUUCCAAACUGAGAUAAGAAAUUUAACCCUACAUCAGUCAGAUUUCACUUUUUAUUCAUGAGGAAUAAGAUUCACCUAUUCAUUUUACAAUAUUUACCAAAUGCUAAAUAUAUUAUGAACACUGCAACUCAGUAUUGCAAUAAAAAAUAAAUAUAUAAGAACUGACCUUAAGGAACUCAAAAUCUAAUGAUGAAGAAAGACUGUUAAGUAUCCCAGGAAUAAUCUAAGGAAGAAAGGGGAACCAUUCCUAUAACUAUGGAUUUCCUAAUGCUUUUCCAAUAUCUAGUACAUCUAUUUUUUACAUAGCUGCCUUUAGGAUUAAAACUCAUAAUCUUAUUUCCAAUACCUGCUAACCUUCAUUUUAAGAAGCCAAGUUGGAGUUCCCAUCAUGGCCCAGCAGAAACAAAUCUGACUCAUACCCAUGAGGAUGUAGGAUCGAUCUCUGGCCUCACUCAGUGGGUUAAGGAUCCAGGUGUUGGCUCAAACUGUGGUGUAGUCACGUAUUUCUAUAUCUAUAGCUACACUAUAUAGCUAAAUACCUAUAUCUAUAUACAGGGUUUUUACUAAUCUACAAACCAUGAGGAUAAUCAUUUAAUUUGUGAACCACUACUUAAUUUUGAGUGAAUUCUAAAAAGCAUAUCUCUCCAUAUAAAAAUAAAGCUUAUAUAGCUAAUCAAUAAAUACUGAAUCAGAUAAAAUCUGCAAUGCAAGCACUAGCUAAAUGGAGUUUUGACAACCGCUGAUUAAGGUCUGAGAUAGUAUUAACUUUUUUUACAAGAGUAAUAAAACAAUUCCAGAAGCAAAAGAUAUAUAAACAGAUGAGAUCAUUUUUGAAAACACAGUGUUUUGGAGCAUCUUUAGAAUGUAGUGAACUCAAUGUUCCAGGUG
rnacentral:lncRNA from 1 species